rnacentral:rRNA from 1 species
UAAAACUGCGAACGGCUCAUUAUAUCAGCAAUAAUUUAUUUGAUGGUUUCUUACUACAUGGAUAACUGUAGUAAUUCUAGAGCUAAUACAUGCGUAAAGUCCCAACUCUCGCGGGGAGGGAUGUAUUUAUUAGAUAAAAAACCAAUGCGGGUUCUGCUCGCCUUUGUGUUGAAUCAUAGUAACUUUUCGAACGGCAUAGCCUUGUGCUGGCCGUAGAUCAUUCAAAUUUCUGCCCUAUCAGCUUUCGACGGUAGUGUAGUGGACUACCGUGGCGUUAACGGGUAACGGGGAAUUAGGGUUCGAUUCCGGAGAGGGAGCCUGAGAAACGGCUACCACAUCCAAGGGAGGCAGCAGGCGCGCAAAUUACCCAAUCCUGACACAGGGAGGUAGUGACAAAAAAUAACA